rnacentral:rRNA from 1 species
AUUGAACGCUGGCGGCAUGCCUUACACAUGCAAGUCGAACGGCAGCAUGGGUGCUUGCACCUGAUGGCGAGUGGCGAACGGGUGAGUAAUGCAUCGGAACGUACCCGGAAGUGGGGGAUAACGUAGCGAAAGUUACGCUAAUACCGCAUAUUCUGUGAGCAGGAAAGUGGGGGAUCGCAAGACCUCGCGCUUCCGGAGCGGCCGAUGUCGGAUUAGCUAGUUGGCGGGGUAAAGGCCCACCAAGGCAACGAUCCGUAGCGGGUCUGAGAGGAUGAUCCGCCACACUGGGACUGAGACACGGCCCAGACUCCUACGGGAGGCAGCAGUGGGGAAUUUUGGACAAUGGGGGCGACCCUGAUCCAGCCAUGCCGCGUGAGUGAAGAAGGCCUUCGGGUUGUAAGGCUCUUUCGGCCGGGAAGAAAUCGCACAGGUUAAUACCUUGUGUGGAUGACGGUACCGGAAUAAGAAGCACCGGCUAACUACGUGCCAGCCGCCGCCGUAACAC